rnacentral:lncRNA from 1 species
CUCCAAAGCCACAUUUCUUCAUCUUCUUCCUCCACACAACCCCCCAAAUCCAAACCAGAGUCUCCUAUCAUCAUUUUUCAUUAGGUUAGAUCAAUUACCACAACUACCCACUUGACCAGAUUCCCCAAUUCAUAAAAAAAUGGCGUCUUUGACUCUGUUCUCAAGCUCGAUCCCACCGUCAUCAAUGACGGGUCAGCGAAAACACACUUCCUAAUCUCACCUUUCUCAACGUACCCAUAUGUCAAAUUCUCCAACUGGUGCGAUCAGCUCCACUUCCGGAGGCGGCAGAAGAAAUCGAGCCUUCCAUUAGCCAGAGCGACGUCAACGACUACGGAAUUGGAUGCGUCGAAAGGAGGAGGUGAAGAAGAAGAAGCUGUGGGUAUGGUGGGAGUUGAAAUUAGAUCUGGGUAUGGUGGGGAUUGAGGAGAGGGAGAUGGGUUUUGAUAGCUGUGGGAGUUUGGCUGUAGGGGUUUGGGGGAUUUGUGAGAAUGUUGGUUUGUGGUUAGA